CCCGACAAGCGGUGCCAUGUCCGAUCCCAGGAUCGGAACCCUCGAACCACAGACCACUGAAGCAGAGUGUGCGAACUUAACCACUAUGCCACCAGACUG